GGGCGUUUAUUUCAUCUCUGCCUGGAAUUGCAGGAGUUCCAGAGACUUCUUUGUUAUUUUAUUCUCACCAUUUCGUUGCUUCCUCCUCCACCGCAUAAUUCUUGCUCUGCUGCCAAUCCAAACCGAAAACUGCUCCUAUCCAAAUUUUCUCACGCUUUCAUUCCUUCCUCCUCCGCUGCGAAUCGAAACCAUAAAUUUCUCAUCCAAAUCAAUUUCGGUUCCCUCAAAUCCCUAGAACCCCUAAACCCAAUUUUCUCCGGAUCGUUCCUUAAUUCAGCGGCAAACACAAAACCCUUUUCUGUUGCUACGAACAUGAGGAUGCGGCCGAGAUUUCUUACACCUUAUUCUACCACUAUUGUGAUGUUUUCCAUCCCAAGUUUGUGUUGAUUUGAUUUCUAAGCCUCCCCAAAACUUCACCUGGAAAAAUUUGCACACCAACUGGCCUUUUAAAUUGCUGUUGGGAGAUUUUAUCUCUAUAACCUACGGAUUAUUGUGAUUUAAUCCCUAAAACUUCUGUGAUUUUUCCGACCCGUAUUCGAACAUUUCGGCGACGGCGUUGAGGUUGUCUCAACCUAUUCCUCAUCGCGUCAGAUUCAAAAUUUGUGAGGAUGUUGGACCCAAAGAAGAAGAUAUCCAUCAGUUGAUAAGGAAAAGGUGAAAUACAUUAAUUUAAUAACA